rnacentral:rRNA from 1 species
UAGGGAAUCUUCGGCAAUGGGGGCAACCCUGACCGAGCAACGCCGCGUGAGUGAAGAAGGUUUUCGGAUCGUAAAGCUCUGUUGUAAGUCAAGAACGAGUGUGAGAGUGGAAAGUUCACACUGUGACGGUAGCUUACCAGAAAGGGACGGCUAACUACGUGCCAGCAGCCGCGGUAAUACGUAGGUCCCGAGCGUUGUCCGGAUUUAUUGGGCGUAAAGCGAGCGCAGGCGGUUUGAUAAGUCUGAAGUUAAAGGCUGUGGCUCAACCAUAGUUCGCUUUGGAAACUGUCAAACUUGAGUGCAGAAGGGGAGAGUGGAAUUCCAUGUGUAGCGGUGAAAUGCGUAGAUAUAUGGAGGAACACCGGUGGCGAAAGCGGCUCUCUGGUCUGUAACUGACGCUGAGGCUCGAAAGCGUGGGGAGCAAACAGGAUUAGAUACCCUGGUAGUCCACGCUGUAAACGAUGAGUGCUAGGUGUUAGACCCUUUCCGGGGUUUAGUGCCGUAGCUAACGCAUUAAGCACUCCGCCUGGGGAGUACGACCGCAAGGUUG